rnacentral:lncRNA from 1 species
UUUUGUUUAUCCUUGUAACGCAAUGCAUUGUGGGUCUUUGUUUUGAUUUUGAAGGAGCUCCUCUCGAGUUAUUUUAGUUGGAAAAACAUUUUUUUCUGAAAUUAUGGAACCGACGUUGAAUAAACUGGUACAGCAGCCUCGUGUAUUACUUCCCUUGAGGACUGAUUCUACACCCCAAGACACUUGAUGAUACAAUUCAACACCUUGCAUUUCAAGAUGGAGGAGCUAAUCAAGGUUGAAUAAACUGGUACAGCAGCCUCGUAUAUCACUUCCCAUGAGGACUGAUUCUACACCCCAAGACACUUGAUGAUACAAUUCAACACGUUACAUUUCAAGAUGGAGGAGCUAAUCAAG